rnacentral:rRNA from 1 species
UACCGGAUACGAGCGGGGAGGCAUCUCCACCGCCUGGAAAGAAUUUCGGUUCUGGAUCGGCUCACGGCCUAUCAGCUUGUUGGUGAGGUAAUGGCUCACCAAGGCGACGACGGGUAGCCGGCCUGAGAGGGUGACCGGCCACACUGGGACUGAGACACGGCCCAGACUCCUACGGGAGGCAGCAGUGGGGAAUAUUGCACAAUGGGCGCAAGCCUGAUGCAGCAACGCCGCGUGAGGGAUGACGGCCUUCGGGUUGUAAACCUCUUUUAGUAGGGAAGAAGCGAAAGUGACGGUACCUGCAGAAAAAGCACCGGCUAACUACGUGC